rnacentral:rRNA from 1 species
GGUGAACGCUGGCGGCGUGCUUAAGACAUGCAAGUCGAACGGGCUCUUCGGAGCCAGUGGCGCACGGGUGAGUAACGCGUAACUGACCUACCCCAAAGUCGCGGAUAGCGAUUCGAAAGAAUCGCUAAUACGUGAUGUGCUGUCAGAUCCUGUUCUGCCAGUAAAGAUUUAUUGCUUUGGGAUGGGGUUGCGUUCCAUCAGCUAGUUGGUGGGGUAAAGGCCCACUAAGGCGACGACGGAUCGCCGGCCUGAGAGGGUGGCCGGCCACAGGGGCACUGAGACACGGGUCCCACUCCUACGGGAGGCAGCAGUUAGGAAUCUUCCACAAUGGGCGAAAGCCUGAUGGAGCGACGCCGCGUGAGGGAUGAAGGUCUUCGGAUCGUAAACCUCUGAAUCAGGGACGAAAGACGCGAAAGCGGGAUGACGGUACCUGAGUAAUAGCACCGGCUAACUCCGUG